rnacentral:rRNA from 1 species
GUUGGGCUGUUCGCCCAUUAAAGCGGUACGCGAGCUGGGUUCAGAACGUCGUGAGACAGUUCGGUCCCUAUCCGUCGUGGGCGCAGGAAAUUUGAGAGGAGCUGUCCUUAGUACGAGAGGACCGGGAUGGACGCACCGCUGGUGUACCAGUUGUCUUGCCAAAGGCAUCGCUGGGUAGCUAUGUGCGGAAGGGAUAAGUGCUGAAAGCAUCUAAGCAUGAAGCCCCCCUCGAGAUGAGAUUUCCCAUCACGUAAGUGAGUAAGAUCCCUAGAAGAUGACUAGGUAGAUAGGUCAGAGAUGGAAGCAUGGCGACAUGUGGAGUUGACUGAUACUAAUCGAUCGAGGACUUAACCACAA